CCUACGGGAGGCAGCAGUGAGGAAUAUUGGUCAAUGGACGAGAGUCUGAACCAGCCAAGUAGCGUGAAGGAUGACUGCCCUAUGGGUUGUAAACUUCUUUUAUAAGGGAAUAAAACGAGGCACGUGUGCCUUUUUGCAUGUACUUUAUGAAUAAGGAUCGGCUAACUCCGUGCCAGCAGCCGCGGUAAUACGGAGGAUCCGAGCGUUAUCCGGAUUUAUUGGGUUUAAAGGGAGCGUAGAUGGGUUGUUAAGUCAGUUGUGAAAGGUUGCGGCUCAACCGUAAAAUUGCAAUUGAUACUGGCAGUCUUGAGUACAGUUGAGGUAGGCGGAAUUCGUGGUGUAGCGGUGAAAUGCUUAGAUAUCACGAAGAACUCCGAUUGCGAAGGCAGCUUACUAAACUGCCACUGACAUUGAUGCUCGAAAGUGUGGGUAUCAAACAGGAUUAGAUACCCUGUAGUC
rnacentral:rRNA from 1 species